GCGUCAAUGGUCUGAGGAAUGAACUGGAAAAGGUCGGUGUCCGACUUGGCAGUGCCAGUAAGGAUGCGCAUCAAAAACUGGUGGGAAGGUGGACCAUGGAACCACCACUCAAGAUCAGAGGCCAGAAGUUUCUGGACCUUGUUAACGUCACGUGAGCUCAAGGCUUCAUAUAGGGCGAACACCACCCCUUUGUUUCUAGUCUCUUCCAGAGUUUCCUGAGAGUUAGCCAGUUCCGAUAGAAGAGGAGAAUAUUAGUAUAACUUUUACAGGAAGAAUUAAGUAGUGAUAAGAUGGAUUUGGAGGGGAGAAGGGUAGAUAGAAUAUAUAGGAGGAUUCAAGGGUAUUGGGGAAAUUAUGGAAAAUUCCAGGGUUGCUUUUGGGUAACUGAAUGGAUUAGUUUAUUUCACGCUCCUUUCAGUGCAUGAACACAACGUGCCUAUGAGUGAAUGGUUGAAUAUUCGCGUUUUCUUUGCGUGGUGACAGACUUAACUGGGGCCCAUCAACUGACGUUUAAAUUGUGAGAUGUCUAGCCAAUUUUCGUGGAUCCCACUAUAUGCUGACCGUGCCAAAAUCUUAC
rnacentral:lncRNA from 1 species